GAUGAACGCUGGCGGCGUGCCUAAUACAUGCAAGUCGAGCGCGAGAAUGAGGAGCUUGUUCCUCAUAAUCGAGCGGCGGACGGGUGAGUAACACGUAGGCAACCUACCCUUGAGAUUGGAUAACUACCGGAAACGGUAGCUAAUACCGGAUACGACUUUUCCUCACAAGUGGAAUUGUUAAAAGGCGGAUUUAUCUGCCGCUCAUGGAUGGGCCUGCGGUGCAUUAGCUAGUUGGUGAGGUAGUGGCUCACCAAGGCGACGAUGCAUAGCCGACCUGAGAGGGUGAUCGGCCACACUGGGACUGGGACACGGCCCAGACUCCUACGGGAGGCAGCAGUAGGGAAUCUUCCGCAAUGGACGCAAGUCUGACGGAGCAACGCCGCGUGAGUGAUGAAGGGUUUCGGCUCGUAAAACUCUGUUGUUAAGGAAGAACACUUGAGGUAGUAACUGGCCUUGAGAUGACGGUACUUAACCAGAAAGCCACGGCUAACUACGUGCCAGCAGCCGCAGUAA
rnacentral:rRNA from 1 species